AAAUAAAAUACGUAUAGCAGUCCGCUCCAUUGACUCUUAUUCUUGUGUUAUUUGGUCAUGGGCAUUUUGAGAGUGAUGAUUUAAAUUGAAUUGCUGUAAUUCCUUUCGAAAAUUGAAAGAGAAAUAUUAUUGGGUUGGAAAUUUGAAUUCACUAGAAUUUGAAUGACAGUGACAGUGGCAGUGCCAUCCCCCCGCCUAUAUGGCUACCACAUCAACUACACUCUCUACGGCCGCCUCAUCCAGCGCUGCACCGACCUCCGCCUCCCGCGCCAGGCCGAGCAGCUCCACGCCCGCCUCAUCCUCACCUCCACCACCGCCGACAACUUCCUCGCCUCCAAGCUCAUUGCUUUCUACUCAAAGACCCGCCAGAUUUCCCGCGCACGCCAUGUGUUCGACCAAAUUCCGCAGAAGAACACCUUCGCCUACAACGCCCUUCUCAUCGCCUGCACCGUGCACAACCACCACGCUCACACGCUGGAUCUCUUUGCCUCCUUGUUGUCUCGACAAGGGCCUCACGAUCGUUUGGAUUUGGCGGAUGUCAGGCCGGAUAGUUUUACAUUGAGUUGCGUGUUGAAGUCGAUGUCAGAGGUGGCCUUGGACGGGCCUCUUCCGGCUCGGAUGGUUCAUUGUUAUGUUGUUAAAUGUGGGUUUGAUUGGGAUGUUUUCGUAGGGAAUGGUUUGGUGACUUACUACUCAAGGUGUGGUGAUGUGGCUUCGGCGAGGAGCUUGUUUAAUGAAAUGCCCGAGAGGGACUUGGUCUCUUGGAAUUCGAUGAUCUCGGGGUACUCGCAAGGUGGGUUCUUUGAGGAAUGCAAGGGUUUGUAUAAAAGAAUGCUGGAUUCGGAAGCUGUAAGGCCCGAUGCGGUUACUGCAGUGAGCGUUUUGCAGGCGUGUGCGCAGUCGAGUGAUCUUAUAACAGGGAUGGCAGUGCAUCAGUAUUUGAUUGAAAAUGAGGUUGAAAUGGAUCUUUCACUUUGUAACUCGAUCAUUGGGGUUUAUGCUAAAUGCGGUAGCUUGGAUUAUGCUAGGCAGCUUUUUGAGGAGAUGAGUGAGAAGGAUGAGAUAACUUAUGGAACAAUUAUAUCUUCCUACAUGGUUCAUGGGUUCGUUGAGGAAGCUAUGAACAUAUUUAGGGGAAUGUGGAAUCCGGGAUUGAAUGCUUGGAAUGCAGUUAUUUCGGGUAGUGUUCAGAAUAAUCAGCAUGAUAGAGUUUUAGAUCUAGUUCGUGAAAUGCAAGGUUCUGGUUUCAAGCCUAAUGCUGUGACUUUGUCGAGUAUACUUCCAGCUAUUCCAUUUGUCUCACAUUUGAAAGGGGGAAAAGAAGUCCAUGCUUAUGCUAUUAAAAACAAUUACCAUACGAAUAUCUAUGUGUUUACUGCAAUGGUAGAUGUAUAUGCCAAACUUGGAUUUCUGAGGGGAGCACAGAAAAUAUUUGAUCUUGCACAGGAUAGGAGUGUGAUAGUUUGGACUGCAAUAAUCUCAUCCUAUGCAGCUCAUGGAGAUGCUAGCUCGGCACUUAGUCUAUUCGAGGAGAUGUUAAAUAGCAAGAUAAAUCCUGAUGCUAUCACAUUUACUGCCAUUUUGGCUGCUUGUGCUCAUGCUGGGCUAGUGGACGAAGCUCGUGAGAUAUUUGGUUCUUUGCUGCCAAAGUAUGGAAUUCAGCCUUUGCCCAAUCAUUAUGCUUGUGUGGUUGCAUGCCUGAGCCGAGUAGGUAAGCUGUCUGAAGCAGUAGAUUUUGUAAAGAAAAUGCCUAGUGAACCUACGGCUCAGGUCUGGGGUGCUCUGCUUAGUGGAGCUUCAGAGGCUGGUGAGGUUGAGCUUGCUGAGUUUGUCUGUGAGCAUUUAUUCGAAUUGGAGCCUGAAAACCCAACAAAUUACAUUGUUAUGGCAAAUUUAUAUUCAAAAGCUGGUAGGUGGGAGGAAGCCGAGAGUGUAAGAGAGAGAUUGGCGAAGAGGGGAUUUAAGAAAGUUGCUGGCAGUAGCCGAAUUGAAACCUCUGGUGGCUUCGUGAGAGGAAGUGCUAUGAAUGAAAGAAGGGGCAAAAUUUGGUAAAUGUUUGCAAAAAUUGUUGGUUAAAGAAGGCAUUUGAUGAUCGAUGAAUUUAAUGAGGGGAGUUAUCAAGAGUUGGAAAUGUAAUGGUGUUUGCUAUUGAGAUUUGUACAGGAGUCACUGUAACAACAUAAACCAAGUUCUGAACUCAAAGUCCCAGUCCGAGGGCUAGGCUCACACACUUGGAGGUGCUACAAAGGUUGAUGGCUAAAGAAGAUAUAUGAUGAUUGUUUGAAGGAAGUUAGUACGACAUAGAGAUUUCCAGCUCACUGAUGGUUGCAAAUCGGGGGGUUGUAGAAGAAAUGAAAUGGUGUCUACUAGGCGCUAGCAAGAUUUCUAAAGGAGAUACUGUAACAACAAAUGAAAGCAGUCCUACUGAAAGUCCAGUUUGAGACUGAGAGCUCGGCUUCUGCACUUGAUGAUAAUUGGUGCAUCCAUGAGGAGCAACUUUCUGCAUGGCCCUUGCAUCUUGAACUCCAACCGACGACGCUUGUUGUUUUGCUUUCUUUUCUUGCCCCGAACUUUGUCAUUUCUCCAUCUUUUCUCGAGCCACUAUCUACACAAGUGAGCUAACAGUUAUAAGUCCAUAAAAACACAAAAAAGUUCAUCAAACCUAAUGGGGAAAAUACUACAAUUUGAUUCCCAUCAUGGGGCUUGCUCGGUGACACGUCGGAGUCAUUAGGGGUGUCGGGACCUGUCUUAGAUUCCCCUUUUAUUGCAUGUUUCAUUUUUCAGAGUUAGCCAUAAAAUAUAUGACUUCGUAUUUGAUUUUGUUUCCCUAGGACACUUCAUAUUUGAUUUUAUUUUUGUUUUGCGAUUGAUCAUGAAUUAUAAUCAUAUCGAACGGGGGUUAAAUUCU